CUAGUACUCCUUUUCUUUAACCUGACUAGUCCCUUCAAGACGUGCAGGCUAAAUACCUUGUGGCCGUUACCCCAGGAGCAAACGUAUUUGAAAUACAGGUAUAGAGCCAAUUCUUAUGACUUCAAAUACAACGAUACAUGCACACAAAUAGCAUAAUCAUAUUCAGCAAAUCACAACCUUUCCACAGACACCUUACUUGACGUACUUUGUACAAGAUUUGUUGCAAUUAUAUAACAGUAAUAGCAACAAUGAUUCACAUGGUCAUAUUUUAAUCAGAUACCAUCACAACUCUUCAUUGCUCAACCAAACACCCAUAUGGGUCAUGUCCAUAUUCCAGUGUAUCCAAUGACUGAGACCCGUCAAAAUCAGCCCUUUGCUCUGUGAUUAUGUUUGUAGAAUGUAAACAGCUGGGGGAAAAUUACUAUCCAAAGUUACAUGAAAAAUGACAAUAGUAAAGCAUAAAUGAUGGGACACACAAUAAGAAGAUAAAGAAAAAAGAGGGAAAUUAAAAAGCCUCUCAGUGAAAGAAUGGACUCAGUAAUCCACCAUCAUUAACUAGGACAUGCCACUCAUAAGGCUGACCAUUCAUUGUCAUAAAGACAGAACAGUGAUCAGAACAUUCACAGCUUCCAUCGUGAUCCCAAAAGGGUCAAAUUAAGCUUGAUGAAAAAGUUUACCUGUUCACUUAGAUGCUGUGCAAAGAGGGUCUAAGGACAGACCCAACUCCCACGGAAGUCAAUUGGAGUUCUUCUGGUGACUUUACUGGGAGUCAGAUCUGACUCCUGAAAAUAAAUGGCAAAGGAAUCCCUACUUGUGAGACUCUUCCAAAUCCUAUCAGAAUAAUCCAGUGUGCUCUAGCAGGCUGUGUUAGAAACAUGGAUAGCUACAGUCCUGAUUCAGCUCCCAUUAGCAUUAAUAGACUCCCAUUGAUUUCAGUGGGAAUUGGAUUGGGUCUUAGGUUGAGCCAAAUACAAGUGUAUGAGAUAUUACCAGAUAUAGGCCAGAAAAAAGGAAAAUAUUUAGCACUUAUUAGACUGUGAGUACUUAGGGGCAGGGACUGUGUCUUCCAGUAUUUGUGUUGAGCACCGAGCACACUUUGGGCGUUACAAUUACAACUACAGCUGUGUAAGUCUCAACUUUAGUUUGAUUUGCUCCCACAAGAAAUUUGAUUUUCACACAAUUCCACCACAUGCAUCAGAAAUCUACCCCACCACAGUCUACUAGAAAGUUCCUAAUGUGUGAGACAUCCUAUAUAGCAUGUUGUAAUAAGCCUGCAAAAGGUUAAAGGUCAAAGUUGCCUCUGAGAGUCCUUGUGGAUGGCCCUCUCCCGGGCUGCUGGGUGAUUAAUUUGGGUAAACAUAAAGGCUCCCAUCAAUGUGUUAUUAUGGGACUGAAGUCAGGCCCAUUCCUGUGGACCUGCUGUUUUUACUCUAAGGUCACUGAGACGUUGUUGCAGCCUGUUGAUGUGUCUGUAAUACCUAAUCUGAUAAAUGGAGACUUUGGGCAAACUGUACUGUUGUUAUAUAGUCUGAUAACAUACUCUAAUAGAAUUGGAUUUUGUUCUUUUAACUGAGUCUAGUGUUUGUAGAAGAUGCUGGACUGCCAGCCCUGGGAACAGAAGUCCUCUCUUUAUUUACAGAAUAACUACAAUAGCAGCAUGAGGUUUCCUCCCAAUGACUUGCCUCAGCCCCACAUUGGAGAAGCCUUUUGCAGCGAUCAGCAUGUAUAGAUGGUGUUCAGUCUCCACAGCCUAUUCAGCCCUUGGCCUUUAUGUAGAGACUGCCAACAAAAAUGUCAAUUAGUGCCAGUUGUCUAAAGCAAAUGAUGACAGUUCUAUCAAGUCUCCACAGGACCAGAGGUGCCAUGCAAGAUUUUACAAGUCUGUUGCAGAGGCCAGGGAAAGCAGAUGCACCUAGUCAAUUGUAAGACCAGGGUCUUAGGCAACAGGGGAUUGAGUAGGAGUAGCCUGGGUACAUAUUUAAGCAACUCCUUUCAGAAAGGAACAGCAAAAGGAUGAGUUACUGCAUCUUUGUGAAAUGCUUUCAAAAGUAUCAAGGGUAACACACAUACCCAGCAUUCCAGUUGUAGCCAGUGCCUCCAACAGGUAAUUUUGACAAAGGUGGCACACAGGCCAUGUACUCAGCAUUUAAACAAUGCUUUAGAUUUCUAAAGAGCUGUACAAACCGACUAUCACAGCAUCUCUGUAUUAUCUCCAUUGAUCAUCCUGAGAAACUGAGGCACAAACGGCCCUGUUAAAUUUGUUUUUAGCCAGGAAGUUUAGCGAUGCAAAUGUUUGUUACUCAUAACCCUGCUGGAGUCAAAAGGAAUAGCACUAAAGCGCAGCACAACUAGAGGGCACUCUCCUUUCUUGGCAUUGGAGUUUUAUCCAGCAGGGGUGGAGUGGGGGCAGGGCUGGGACAGAGCAGGGGUGGGGGCCAUGGGUGCCCCAAAUUUCCUGGUGCCUUAUGCAGCUGCGUACUUUGUGUAUGGGUAGGGAUGGCCCUGCAUUUAAAUAACCCCAGCCACAGAAACACUACCUAUUACUUUCUCAGAAUUUAUUGAGCAACCCCUUCUUGCCAUACACGGUGUUUCACCAGUGGCUUAACUCUAUAGUGUCGCAUGGUUCCUGCUUGAAGAAGUUUGCAUGUUACCUUUUUCUUUGCAUUAAGUAUGCACGCAUAUAUACAUCACACGAAUGCACAUCAGACAGAACCAGAGAAUGUAACCCAAAAACAUUAGCAGAAGAGACAAGUACAAUGGUUUAUGAAAACAUUACCAGAAGUUCAUUAAUCCUAAUAAAAGGGACCAAUCCAGGUUCUACUGAAGUAAAAGGGCAACCUCUUUGGUUCCCAUUUAUGGAUCCAGUAUUUCUUUGCCAAAUUAAACUUAUCUGGAAUAUCAUUAUUAGUUGGAGAGACCAUAUACCCCAAUUAAGUGCAUCUUUGAAAGUGGGCAAAUCUAAAAAAUUAGAGGCAUGUAACUUUCAUAGACAUUUAUUUUUAAAGCUAUUGUGAUCAUCUAGUCUGACCUGUAUAACACAGGGAAUAGAAUAUCUUCCUGUAAUUCCUGCAUGAAGCUGAUAAUUUCUGGUUGAGCUAAAGUAGCUCUUUUAAAAAAGAAAUCCAGACUUGAUUUAAAGACUUCAAGAGAUAAAGAGCUACAAUCCUUGAUAAGAAGACUGUUGCAAAGCUCAGUAUUGAACCCAGAUCUCCUUAAUCCCUGUCCCUUGAACACAAAACCAGGCUUCUCCUCCUUCCUCUGCUUAUUUACACACAAAAACAAAUGUUCACAUUUUAAUUUAAUGUAUUUUUUUAAGUGAAAAUUAGUAGAAUUGGUAGAAUCAGCACAAACCAGUGAAUGAUCCCCAUAUAAUAGCACAUGGUCAGGAAACAUAUUCAUGACCUCUUGUCCUAAACUGGGACCUGAUCCCAAUUCACAAUGAAAUCAGUGCUAGUCAUUCCAUUUCAAGAAUGAGAUCAGGCCCUUGGGGAUGAUCGCAUCUAGAACCAGAGAUAGGCCUGAGCCAAAAACUCAUAUCAACAUACCCCAGGACCUUGGAUGAGUUAAAAUAUGGAUCUAGCCUUUGUGGCUUGGGCCCAUCUUGAACUAGGUUAAUCCAAGACAAAGUCAGCAUGCCUCAGAAAUACAUUGUAGGUCAACUCCUUUCCUUCAGUAAUAUCUCUUCUCAUUUUGCAUGGUUAAUGUAGAAAAAUUUAAGGGGACAAAUUCAUGCCUGUUAUAACUCUACUAACUACUAUGGAGUCAAAAUGGAUGAAUGUGUAUCCUAUUCUUAAUGUUUUUUGGGAGGAGGGAUUAUAAUUAUGUUUUUAUGGUGUGACAAGGCUACAUUGAACAUGUUAAUUACAGUAUACAAUAUUGAGCUGUAGCUCACGAAAACUUAUGCUCAAAUAAAUUUGUUAGUCUCUAAGGUGCCACAAGUCCUCCUUUUCUUUUUGCGAAUACAGACUAACACUGCUGCUACUCUGAAACAAAUAUUAAUCUUUAUAACUCAGUGUAAUCUCGAUGAAAUAAUGUCCAUGGCAGCAUAUUCAAGUGAAACCUACAACUCACGGUUACAAAGAAAGUGAAGUCACUUGAGGAUCAGUCUCUUUGGAUGCCUUUUUCUCCAUAUCUGAAAAACCAUGUGUUAUCGCUCUCCAUGUGUGGAGCAGAAAUAUGCCACAGUUGUAGCCCAAAGAGAAACCUCAGCCUGGCAGGACUGAGCAAUACAAAAUCCAAACCCUUUGAUUUCUGUCCUUUGUGAACAAUGGACAUAAAUGUGCUAAAGGGAAAUAGGGAUGCGGGCUGGACAAAAUAAUAUUAUUGUAUCUUUAAACCAAAACCCACAUGAUGAUGUAGGCUUCCGAAUUGUAUUCUCCUGUAUUGGAGCUGUGUGGCUGGAUCCGGCAAGAAGAUGUGCAGGUGUCUUGUAGAGAGAAGGGUAGGCCCCUAGGUGUGGUUAUGCCUGCUCUGCCAUGGAGGAGAUCUGGGGUUGACCCUCAGUCCAUUCUGUCCCUGUUACCAGCUGGGGCCGGGAAUGCCGUUAAAGCAGAUCACUCCACAAGGGAAGGAAUGCAUUGAUUCAUUCAUCCACAAUCUUCAGGGUCCAGGUGGAGAGCAGCACCUACAGGCUGUAAAGGAGGCCUCACCUUGUUCUGUAAGACUGUACCUUGUACAUACCUGAUAGAACGGGUAUAUCAAGAAGAGUUCAUGGCAAUAUAUAUGGUCAAAUAGUGAUACUCUCAUUUAGGAAAACUGCUGAAGUCAAAUGGGAGUUUGCUGGAGUAAAAGCUGAAUUGAGGACCUCAGGCCUCGAGUCUCAUGCUUAAAAAUCAUCCUCCCCUCCAGCAGAAAAGCAUUUAUAAAUACUAAGUAUUUCUAAGAUUAUCAAUAGCCCAUGGAAGGAGGGACAGAGGCCAAAUGGUUUGCCCCAAAUUUUUAAUUUUUCACACACAAAAAUAAAAUAAAAUCUUAUCCUAUUCUAUAUAAUCCCUGAAGUAUUGUCAAGGGCUAACCCCUAGACCCACUAAAGUCAACGGCAAAGCUCCCACUGAUUUCAGUCAGACCAGGAUUUGCUCCAUUAUAGUGCACAGAUUAGAAUAGAUCCCUGGAGGAAUAGAACCCAAAUGCUUCCUACUAAAGAAACAAACAAUAGGAUAGAUAAAAAUGCAGGCUGUGCAUAGAGGUUUUUCAAAUAACUCCUUCCAUUUCCAGUGCCAGAACAGAACAUUUACUUGGUUUAUCGCUUAAACCUUACUGAAGAGCUUAGUGUGGAAUGUGGCCUCCUGCUUGUUAAGGAGAGCAUCAUCCCAAGAGCAUGUAACACCCGUGCUCCACAAUCUGCCCAGACUGCCUGUUUGCUUCUGCCUGGAGUUUAAGGAGCUAUAUGUAACCUAAAAAGCCAUAAAUAGUCUGGCAUUCAGUUCCCUCUCUCCCUGUGCAAUACCCAUUGCAGCUGCAAUUAGCGGAGGCACAUGAGCUGAACCUCCUCCCCUCACCCAGGUUAAGCUAGGUGGGGGGUUCAAAAGGGCAUUCUUCUCAGCUCCAGACCAAGCUUCCUUCUGGUCUGCCAGAACCUGGAUUCAUUAGCGUUCAGCACAGACCACAAAUCCCAUUCUUUUCCUUAGGUGUUUCAGGAGGGAGCUGGCCAAGGGAUAUGAUGUGGUGGGUUUCAGGUUAGGAUGAUUACCUUCCUUGUAAUAGUAUGUGAAGCACUAGGGAGAACUCAUCACAGAGUCAUGUUGAUUUAAUUCAGACGGUUUGCGUUGUUCACUCUUGUGAAAACACCCAGAGGAAUGGAUGGGCACUUUACCAUCAAUGGUCUGUGAAAUCCAUUACUGUACCCAAUACAAUGUUUCUAAAUGGUUUCUGUUCUGCAGAACAUUCACCAGUCUUCACAUGGUCUAGGCCAUUCUGUAAAUGGAGUAAUCAAAUAAAGAACCACCAAAAAUACUAUACUGGGUAAAGUUAGGAGGAUUUAUACUAGUAUCAACUGUACUCUUUGUAUACUCGGGAGAUAGAAGGAACAGAUAACUUCAUGAUCAUCUCCCCCAUCAGAUUCCAACAUCCCAGCUCAGCUUUGACACCCUUCAUCUUUCCUGUCACUAAAGAUCACAGCCUGGCUGCUCUAGGACUUAUUUAGCGACCGAAUUAUCUGGCAGAAAAUCAUUUUCUGAGACAGAGCCUGAUGUCUGAGACAGAGCCUGAUGUUGUGAGAGCUGGUGGGGGUAAUUCAUUGGCUUAUUCAUUCAUUAGUUCAACCAUUUUAACAUUUAAAACAGAUUUGUAAAAAUAAUCCAACUCCAUAACAUAUUUCCACCCUCUUUCUGUAUAUGUUAGGUAAAACGCUCUUUGAAUACCUUGACCACAUGUGAGCACUCUGUGCAACAAGUGAGCUAUGCAAAGUGCAGGCCUUGUUGCAGCCACAAAACCCUGCACCUGAAUGUAUGAAACUCGUAGUGUGUCCCCCUCUCUGUGCCCAAUCCACAGAGGAUAGGAGUUGUUAUAGCCCUCAGCUACAGAGCUUGGCUCUUAAGAGCUAAACGCAUGAACUAAAGGACCCUGGCUCAAUGUCCCACUGUGCUUGGCCAAGAGGGCAGCUGUCACAAUUGCACAGGCAAUCACCUGAUUUGCAUGUGCAGGCCAACUGGCUGAGCACACAGUCAAGUGGUCUUGCAACACCCCACUCUGUAUGUGCAAACAACUUGUUUGCUUAUACAUAUGUGGUGCCUAGUAGGUAUAUUUUGCACAGUUCACCGACUGCACUACUUUUAAAAACAUGGUCCUGCAGGCAGCCACAUAGCUUGAAAAUGAAGUCAGAGUUACACUUCUGCAUUAAAAGGGUAUUUACCUAAUCCUGUGCUCAGGCAUCGUGACUUUGCAUAGCUCCCAUUAUCUUUCCACCAGCCCUGGUGAAAAACAACAUAAGGAAUUAAGGGGAAAGCUUUUUUUAAUUUUCCUGGUUAAUGUGGGAGCAUGAAUUGAUUUAUUGCCCUUGAAAGUGAGAGAGAGUAACGCUGCUAGCUAGCACUAAGCAGGGAAGAGGAUCCACAAGCUGCUAUGCAGCUCUGCCGAUCUUAAACCCCCAGCAGCAACACUCCAGUUAUUCGAGUGCUGCACCUUUCUUCAACGGAGGCUGCCGAGCGGAACUGUGUGUUGGCUUUGUGAUGUGACAUGUCCUGGCUGUUACUCUGGAUACCGCAUUUGCUCAUCUUUUUAACAUUUGUAGUGUGCAUGAAGGACAGGAACAGCACAGAAGUCGUAAGAAAUCUUGAAUUCUGAGCUGCGAGUGUACUCAGAAGUCCUUUGUUCUGGAGUCAAAAGAACCCUUGCCUGCCUUCCACUUUGGGUUUAAUGCUUUCGAAGUAGUUGCCCAGAUACCAACAAAAUCUUAUGUAGCCUCCAUGCCUGUAACAAUACUUCAUUCAGAUUGCUGCAGGCAUUAGCUAAGCAGGCUAGGGCUGAGAUGAUUUUAGAUACCAGACUUCCAAGGAAAAUCCCAGAUACCAAAACUGAUGACCCAGUAGAAGGCAGCCUUUCUGAUGGGGCAGCAUGCUGCUGAAAGUGCCAUUUGUAUGAUGAGACAUUGGCCUUGAGGAGCCCUGACCACUCAUGGUCAUUAAAGAUAGUACAGCACUUUUCAUUAGAAAAGGGGCAUUGAUGUAACGCAUUAGCAAAGCAUGUGCCACAUCCCUCUCUACUAACCAGUCUGCUGGAGGAUAACAGCCCACUACCACCUAACGGUCCUCAGCUCAGUUGGCAGAAAUCUGUGCUGGGAGGCCAAAAGUUCUGACUUCAAGUCCCCUGUGCUGGUAUCGUUACAUUAGUUCAAGUAUGCUAGUCACAUUCCAAUAUAUGUAAUGGCAUUUUACUCACUGCCCAUUGCUUCAUUUGGAUAAAAUAAUUGUGUGUGUGUGUGGGCAGGGGGAGCGUUUAGUGUCAGGGAAGCAUGCACUAGACAAGUGCCUAGAUGUUGACCAAAAUUGCUACAGGAUGUAAACCUGACCAUUUUCUGAUUAUAAUUCUGCCACAUUGUCAUACUCUAGAAUUAACAGAGUCCUAAAUUAAUCCUCCCUCCUCUUAGACUCUUAAAACCUAUUAACACAGCUUGAUUUUUAAUUAAAUUUUUGUGUGUUAACUUUUUUUGGCGUGUAACUUUCUGCCUGCUUUCAUGUCUCCUCUGCUAGAGGGUCACAACUUUCAUUGUGCAGCUGAAAACCAUGAAUGAAUCACUGCCACGCGUACAUUUAAACUUUACCUGAAGUCUCCAUCAGGAGUCUGGGAGAUGAUCAGAAGUGCUGAGCACUCACAACUCCAGGUGAAGUCAAUGGGAGCUGCAUGUGCUGAGCUCCGCAAAAACCCAGGCCAUUAGUUAUCAUCAUUUAGACCUUACAUGGAGGGGGGAAGAUCCAUGCUAGUACCUAUCUUUAAAAAGGGAAUCAAAAAACACUUGGGGAAUUAUAGACCAGUCAGCCCAACUCCAAUAUGUGGAAAGUUACUGGAACAAACUGUUAAACAAUAAACUGGUAAGCACCUCCAGAGAAUAAUAGGGUGAUAAGUAAUAAGCCAACAUGGAUGUAAAAAACAAAUAAUGUCAAAUCACUCUAAUUUCCUUCUUUGACAGGACAACUGGCCUACUGGAUAGGGGAGAAGCAGUAGACCUGAUAUAUCUGGAUGUUUGAAAGGCUUUUGACACAUCAUAUUUAUGUGAUUUUCUUUUGAGACUGUCAUGUGGGGUGUAGAUUAAAUUACGAAAAUUACUAUAAUUUUAACUCAUUGAAAAACCAUACUCAAAUGGCUUGGUGUUAAACUGGGAGAACACAUCUAGUGGAGUCCUGCAGGGGUCAGUCCUGGGUAUGGUACUAGUCAAUAUUUUCAUUAAUGAUUUGGCUAAUGGAGUGGAGAGUAUGCCUAUAAAAUUUGCAACUGACACCAAGCUGGGAGAGGUUGCACACACUUUGGAGGACAGGAUUAGAAUUCAAAAUGACCUUGCCAAGUUAGAGAAUUGGUCUGAAAUCAACAAGAUGAAAGUCAAUAAAGACAAGUGCAAAGUACUACACCCAGGAAGGAAAAAUCAAAUGCACAUCUACAAUUUGGGUAAUAACUGGCUAGGUGGUAGUACUGCUCAAAAGGACCUGGGGUUAUAGGAGAUCACAACUUAAAUAUGAGUCAACAAUGCGAUAAGGUUACAAAAAUUACUAAUAUCAUUCUGGGGUAUAUCAAUAGCAGCAUUGGGCCUCAGCUGGAAUCCUGCUUUCAGUUUUGGGUGCCACACUUUAAGAAAGCUGUGGACAAAUUGGAAAGAUUCCAGAGGAGAGCAACAAAAAUGAUAAAAGUUUUAGCAAACCUGGCCUAUGACGAAAGGUUAAAAAAACUUGGCAUGUUUAACCUUGAGAUAAGAAGACUGAGGGGGGGACCUGAUAACAGUCUUCAAAUCUGUUAAGGGCUGUUAUAAAGAGGAAGGGGAUCAAUUGUUCUCCAUGUUCACUGAAAGCUGGACAAGAAGUAAUGGGCUUAAUCUGCAGUAAAGGAGACUGAGGUUUGAUAUUAACGUAACCCAGGCUAAUGGAGCUGAUGAAAAAGAGAGCCAAGUUUGCUGCUGGGUAGAGAGAUGGGGAAGACGGCAGUGUUUACCUUGCCAAAGAUGUUGAGCCUUGUGAUUGGGCAAACCCUGGGGGGAUGGAAGGCUGACUAAGCCAAUCAGAGGAAUGGGAUGAGAAGAGGCCAGCUCUGCCUGAGAGGAGUGUGGGCUAUCCAGCACUUUCAACAAGUGUUCUUAAUGCUCUUCCAAAGUGUGACCAAACACUAUCAAGGCAUCCAGAUACACCAGAACAGCCAGAAGAUUCAUGCAACUGUCUGCUUCAUUAAUCUCUGGAAUGUGGCCGGGGCCCCCCAGAUAUUCCCUGGGGCAGUCUCAGAAAUUUGUAGAAUCCAAGUGGACAGAUGAAGGAUGCCUUCAUCAUAUCAACUGGUCCCAUGGGUAUCUGCUUCUCAGAUCCAAAAUAGAAAACCAACAGCUUCCUGUUAGGCAAUCUAAGGCUUCAUCCACUUUUGGGGUGGAUUGGUCAGGGAUUGUACACCUGUUCAAAGUAUGAUAAUAUAUGCACUUGCAUACAUCUUCAUUCUUUUUUAUGGCCACAACAAUUGGGGAGGCAUAAGAACUUCCAGAGUUCCUGAUGAUUCCUGUGGUCUUCAACUCCUGGAUAUGUUUCCGAACAUCUUCAACAUAUGAUAGCCUCCUCGAUCUUUCUUGGAAAGGCCCAUCAUUCAGCCAGAUGUGGUGUUCAAAUCCCUUGCCACAACCCACAUCCCACUCCCAAGCAGAGAACACUUGGGCUCAUUGCACUAGUUUUCAUCUCUCUUUCCACACUGGAAGAAUAGGGGAGUUCCCAAAGUUCAACUUAUAUGGGUGUAAUCUUCCUGCUGGGGGCCAUAUGGGCCACAGUUGCAGCCAAGUAUAUCUGUACAACACAUUUUCCUGAGGGAUAGUGAUUGGCUACUCAGUUUCAUUAGCCACCAGCAGCUUUAUUGACACUUUUGUACGAGAUGAGGUUUUGGCUAUACCCUUCGUCACCAUCAAUCCACCCAGCAGUGCAUCUGUAUCUGGGGCUUCAACCAGGAUUAACUGAUUGUUGGCCUUCUGAUCCACUUGAGCAAUUUCAUCCACUACAUGGGUUGUCCUUGCAGGAAUAAUAACUGGAGGCCUACAUCUUAGUUUGACCAUUCCCACCAAUCCUCAAGUCCACACUGGUCUCACUCUCCUUCUUUAGCUUGAUAUGCUUCUGAACGUAGUGCAUGGAUAUUCAGGCUGUGUGUGCACUUAAGUCCAGCAAAGAUUUUGCAUAGCUGAGCCAAAGCUCCAAACAUGGCUGCAUUUGUUCCUACAAUUCAAGGCACCUGGUUUGGAUGCCCAGUGGAUUGACCAAAGCAAUCUCUGCGUCUCUCUCUUUCUCAAUUCCAACCACAUCCUUUGAGACUUUAAUUUCACUGGCACAUAUUCCAGUUAUGGGUACUGGUCAUCUCCUAACCCCCAACCCAGUUAGAGGUUGCAGGAGCAGAUGUUGCUGUAACAAUGCGGCCUCUGGCAGGGCAUUACUGCGAGUAUCAGUUCAGGACAAAUUGCUUAGAGCAGGGCAGUUACAGCCCAAAGCUUUAGUUCCUUUACUAUUAAGGCACGCCAAACCAACCAAAACAGAGAGGAUUUCGGUUUUACCCCACUGGCUAACCAUAAGUUAGCAAUUCCCUCAGAUACUCCAGUUCCCUUUUAUCACCCCCAGCACCGCUCCUUAUAGGGAUGAAUGGUUAUGAAAACCAACACCGCAGUAAAAAAAAAGGUGCUCCCGAUCCCAAAGGACCAAACCCCAGAGGUCAAUAUACCAGUCAGAUCUUACCCACAAAUCACGCUGUUGCCAAUCCUUUAGAAUCUAAAAUCUAAAGCUUUAUUCAUAACAAGAAGAAAUAUAGAUGAGAGCUAAAAUUGGUUAAACGGAAUCAAUUACAUACAGUAAUGGCAAAGUUCUUGGUUCAGGCUUGUAGCAGUGAUGGAAUAAACUGCAGGUUCAAAUUAAGUCUCUGGAGUACAUCCCCAGCUUGGAUGGGUCAUUCAGUCUUUUGUUCAGAGCUUCAGUGUAGCAAAGUUCCUCCAGAGGUAAGAAGCAGGACUGAAGACAAGAUGGAGGCGAUGCAGCUGCCUUUUAUAGUCCUUUUGCCAUGUGGCUUAUGCUUCCUUUGAGUCCAAACACAAGCUACCCAGCACAUGGCAUGGAAAAACCUUAGAGUUCUGUCCAUAGGCAUGUCCCUGCAUGUCUUCCUGAGUCUGUAUCUGCUUUCUCUCAAUGGGUCAGUUGUAUAGCUGAUGGACCAUCAAGCAGGCUUGUCAGUUCUGAUGCCAAAUUGUCUGGGGUGUCACAUAAAAGCGUAGCACAAGUUUGAAAUACAGACAGUACAGAGCCAAUACUUAUAACUUUAAAUACAAAAAUGUUACAUGUUUACAGAUAGCAUAAUCAUAACCAGCAAACCACAACCUUUUCAUAGACACUUUACUUGACCUCCUUUGUACAAGAUUUGGUGCCACUAUAUGACCUUGGUUGCAACAAUGAUCUAUACGGUCACCGUUCAUGUCAAUAACAUCACAGUCACCAUGAAAAGGAUUCAAAGAUUAUAGUGACCAGAGCGCCACUAUCUAGAACAACUGUACACUCUCUUCCCUCAAUAGUCACUUCAACCUGAGACUUUGGUCCAGCCAUUUCUACAGGCAAGCCAGACACAGCUGGAGGCAAAGAUUCAGCCUUCACAUCUUCGAGUGGAAGGGAGCAAAGGUGGUUACGGGACCCAGGGUGCUCCCUUACCUGGCCCCUCUAAUGUUUCCCACUAUCUUAUUGACAUAGAGGGCCAUAAAUUGUUCCUCAGUUCUCCCAGAAUUUACAGAUUUAGAACAUCCUCAUGGGCAGUGCCCAUCUUCUCCACUCUAAUAACAGAAACAUGGGCUCCAAGAGGCAGGGAUUCCACCAAGCUCUAUCAUUUUCUUGACCCCUGCCUCUCUAGUAUAGCUGUCCAACUCGCAUUUGUCUGGGAGUCGAGAUACUCCACCUCUUGUCAUUUGUUGGGGAAGACACUCCUGAGUGCUGUUUCACUGUCAAUACUGCUACUUUCUCUUGCAACUCAGCGAUCUGUUUCAUCAUAUGGUUACUUUCAGGAGAGGUGUUACACUGAGUGGCUUCCAAAGUACACACUCAUUUCAGUCCCUCAGAAAAGCUUAUCUCCAGAGUCCUGAGUUUCCCUCUCCCUGAUCUCUUGCCUCAGUUUAGCGAAAGACAGGGAUUCCCCCCUCUGUCCUCUAUAUGCAACUGGAGCAACAUGAAUCCAGCAUGUCUAACACCCUUUAACACUUGCUCCAGUCAGAGGUGAUCCAAAUCACCCCCUGAAACUCUCCCAUAGUGGGUUCUCUGUUGGGGUCAUUCUAUCCAUGCCAGAUACUGAGAUUGUUCUCUCCUGGCUCCUGAUGGGUGGACAGCAAUUUUAAUAUACCAUCCUCUCCACUUUCAGUGCUUCUAACCAUGCCCUCCAAAGCUGAGAGGUAUUCAGCCAUAGUUGCCUCUGGGUUACGGACCCAGAGUGACCGGAUAGAUUCAGCAGUAGGUCCUUGUGGACUUUCCACUACGCUCUUUUGUUUGUCCCUUUUGAAGCAGGUCCAUUCCUGUUCCAUCUGAACAAUCAGACUUCAAAUUCUUCCUCCUGUGCAGGGGGUAGGUUUUAGCCCUGCAAAGUUUCUUAGUCUCUGAUGGCUGCCAGUUCCAGUUUCCAGGCCUGCCAUUUGUCCCAUGGCCUGGGUAAAGGCCUUCAGGAAUGAAUCUUCUGUCAGAGGGUGAGAAGAUGGGGCAGGAGGACUAUACACUGCCCUCAAAUUGUCUUCCUUCUUUCCUGUUCUCUGGAUCAAAUGUUGAAUUUCUCUUUGAAAAUCAGAUGUCUCAUGUGGUGGUAUCAAACCUCAUGGACCCAGAACAGAAGGCAUCCCAUCUCUCUUCUUCCUCUCAAUAGGUUUUGCUGAGGAAGGUGACCUUUCCCAAGGCCUGUACAAUCUGUGCUCUGGAGAUACUCUUGCUAAAGCCUCCCACCACCACAGCCUAUUGUGGAUCUACUUCAUCCCCUUCACACAACUCUAGGACCUGUCCUCUAGCCAUGCCGACUAACAGCGGGGAUGUUAUGGGCCACCACUUGUAACACCGAUGCCCCUAUGAGGAAUUCAACUGGAAAAUCUCUGAAGUUCAGGACACACUUCCCCUCCCAGGGGGAGUAUGUAAGCCAUGCCUGCUCAGGUGUGGCACUUUGUCCCCCUCCAGUGGUGGCUACGCCAGCUAGAGAAGCAUAUCUUUUAGCUCAGACAGUAGAGACUCAUGCAUUAAGAUCAAGAGGUUCCAGGGAUGUUGGCGUUACAUUAGGAAAAACUUUCUAACUCUAAGGAUAGUUAAGCGCUAGAAUAGGUUGCCAAGGGAAGUUUUGGAAUCCCCAUCCUUUAAGGUUUUUGGAACAGAUUAGCCAAACACCUGUCAGGGAUGGGCUAGGUAUAUUUGGUCCUGCCUCAGCACUGGAAGAAGGACUAGAUGACACUUGAGGUCUUUUCCAGCCCCACAUUUCUAUGAUUCUGUUUUAAUUUUACAGGCAACAAGAAAAGACAAUUUGCAUGGGGAAAGCAAUCAACUUGUAUAAUUAAAGCAGCAAAUCAUAUAAAGGAAACACUGAAAGGCCCUUUUAGAUCAUCUUGUCCCUUCGUGUCAGUACAGGAUUGCACCUUGCGGUAUAUUUUCCAGUGCUCUGUCCAGUCAUAAAUGCCUCAAACAAUGGAACUUCCACCAUUUCCCAUGAAAGACAAUUGCAGAGUCUAAUAAACCUUAUUGUGAGGAAAUAUUUCCUGCUAGUGAGCCUGGCCUUUUCUUUACUCCGGUUCAUCCCAUUUCUCCUAGUUAAUUCCCUUCAGGAAUGUACAAACAAAUGUAUUCUCCUACACUCACCCCAUCAGCUAUGGUUUACUCAAGCCAUAUAUAUUAGGUUCUUUAAACAUUUGUUCAUGAGUCAUUCUCUGCAACCCCUUAAUCAUUUAGGACAGUCUGCUCAAAUUUCUUUUAGGGACUGAAGUGCCCCAAGCUGUAUUGAGUGUCUUAGGUGAAGUCUCCACCAUGUCACAUAGAAAUAGAAGCUAAAAGGCCAUAUAAGACAAGAUGAUAUAAGAACAUUAAGAAUGGGAUCAUUUACUUUGCUCCAACAGAAGUUUUACUGAAUGGUAAAUUUCUCAUGGACUUCAAUGGGACUCUAGUUAAGCUAAUAUUAGACAUUUGUUAGAAGCCCACACUAAACCCUUAUCUUUCCAAAUAGAAGUUAUCUUUACAGCUGCUUGCUGGCUUCUAUAUCCUAUUGUGCUGAGUCCUCGCUAACCCUUGCACAUGUAAACACUCAGAGCAGGCCUCGCAGACACCAAGGGAAUUACCAGAUGCUGACAAUGGUUGUCAUUAACUCCCAAGACCUCACUUUAAACUGGUGUUGAACUCAGGUUAGCUGUUGCUGUGGACAGGACAGGACAGUUCUCUGCACCCUUCCGGGAGCAUUGUAGAAAUGUUGGUCCAUCAGGGUUCAGUGCUGCUCCCUGAAGGGGUGAUAAAAAUAGUUUUGCUGCCAGAAUGGCCAGGAAUCUAUUUCUUGUGUGGUUAUGGGAAGUGUGGAUGAGACCUGGAGGAACAUGGUGUCCUCCCUCAUGCUUUCUGUAAGGUGCUGAAAUGGUUUUGUCCCACCUGCACUAGCAGCUCAAUUGUUUUCAACAUCACUUGAGAAAGGGCCAUGGGGCACCCAUUGCUAACAACCACUCUCAGCACUGGGUCACUUUAUUAGUGCAAAUGGGGCCUUGCUGCUUUACCAGCUCCACACCUGAGGCCCUCCUUUGCUAAGCUGAAGAUGUCAGCCCACAUAAGUAGCUCUUGAUCAUCACCUAUUGAGUAAUGCCAGAUACACUCAUCCUGCCACCAACCACUGAUCAAGCUGCCUCUAAAAUGGAUCGCAGGGCACAUCCCUUGCUUACCUGGACCAUGACAGAGACAUUGGAGUACAAGCUGGACAGGGAUAACAUCACAUCUCAGAACCCAGAUGGCGUGAGGCAAAGUCUUAGACUUACAAAUGCACUUAAAAACAAACCCAGGACCUACAGGAAUCUGAGUUUUACUAUGGAAGAACAUGAGAGCAGGAUUUGACCCUUAAAGCUGAGAUAAUCCCAUAAUUUCCAAUGCUCUACUUGUCCAAUUGUGUAAUAAAUAAUUUAAAAGCCCACAUUAAACUUUGCUUCUGAGCUUUCUUACCUUUCCAUUUGUUUGUUGCAAUCACUAUGCUAAGAAUAUAACCCAAGGAAAUGUCAGCAAUCAUUAACACAAAGAUGUAAUCCAAGACCAAAAAAAGCUUUGCCUAGAGAAUUCAUUACUUGAAAAAGAACUAAACAUAGUAUCUGAACAGUCAGUUAUACCAAUGCUAAUAGAUAAAAAUAAGUUCAUGUUCAUAGAAGGUGCCAGGUGGGUAUCUCCUUUAAAGGCCAGGAACACAAUGUGUAUGUCUGUACUGCUAUGUAGUGGUGUUCUCUAGAAUUAUUUAUUCUGAUGAGUAGGUGCCUUUAAUGGAAACCAAUACAAAGAGAGAAAACAGCCCUUUGAGGCAGUAGGAAGCAAGAUUCACAAUGAGCAGAGGAGUCUGGGUGCAAGCUCAGAUAUCAUGGAAAAGCCACCCAGAUACUCAGGGAUGAGAACACUAUAAGGCUAGGGUCCUCGCCCAGCUUUCACUGAAAGUCAAUGGGAUCUGGGAGCUUCACUCCUUUAAGAUCCUUUGCAAAUCCCUGCCUUGCUGCCUAGACAGAAUAGGCCUUGCACUGCUCCCCAGUACAUUUGACCUUUUAAUUGAGCAAUUGCACAUUAUGGGUGAAAUUCACCAGCAUGCAGAGGGCCCGCCCUGGGCCUACACACCACUACAGUUCUAUUCUGAGAGAUUAAGGGGGAUUUAAAUCGUUCAGAGCUGGCAGCUACCUUGGCUGACACCAGGCAUGGAACGAGGGAUGUCUAGUGGUAAAAGCAUGGGCCUGUGCACCUUGAGUUAAAGAGCCGGGCUCUAGCCCUGAGAGCCAUAGUAGACUCAUUUCCUGUGUAGAUCAGACGAAGCAGCCAAGGAACACAACAUGCUGACCAGGAGGCCCUCCGCACAGGGAUGAAUUUCACCCAAAACGAAUUUCCUUAGGGCAGAUGUUGAAACCCAUGGCAUGAUUCCCAAGGAUGCUCUUCAGAGACUGUUCCUCUUUCGGUUUCUGAGCCCUGCCCUGGUCUAGAGCCCUGCCCAGCUCUAAAACUGGCUUUGAGAAAUCAGCGAUUGCAAAACUCAGGGAUUGAAUGAAGCAUGGCCUUUUAAACGAAAGCUGAGUCCAUUGCUCAACGCAGCUCUCUCAGUUCACAUGGCGAGAAGCCUGUCUCGCCCAUGCACAAACUGUCUGCCACAUUUCCAGUUAAAUAAAAGGUUUUAAUUAAAACAGGUCCCAGUGAGUCUCCUUGUUGGCAGCACAUGGGUUGCUCAAAAGUGCCAUGAAGCAUGAAUUAGCAGAGCAAGAGCCAUAGUGUCAGAGCUAACACACCAGUUCCACCCUGGCUUUAAUAAAAGGGUUAACAAUCUGACACCACUUUAGUGGAAGGAAACAGCUCAACUGCCUUCCGGUAUCCCUUGCUGUACGGCAGUUAUGAGCAGUAAGGUGGGAGGGAGGAGAGAGGGAGACAAUCCUGAAAGGAAGGAGCCUGGCACACAAUAAUGCAGGCAGCAGCUUCUCUCAGAUGAUCAUUUGGUUGGAUGUCAGUCAGCUGGAGUACAGUUACAUUCAGAGUAUUCCCCCUCCUCCAGAGCGCGCUCUACAUCCCUGCCAUGUAAUCAAGCUAUUUUUUUUGGGGGGGGGGGGGUAUCUUUCAACUAAACAAAGACUAGCAUGAAAAGGAAGUGAGCUUUCUCUAAAAGGCAAUGGGAUUCGGCUCUGAUUUCUCUGGGCAAGUUAGGUCAGCCAAAUACAAGUCUUUACCAAUUUAUUUAUUUAAGAUACAUACUGCAUGCUGAUAACAUUUGAAGAAAUCAUCCAGCUAAUUAGUGUUGAAGUGCAAUAAAUCUCCUACACCUGUACUUUUGGCAUCCCUGUUAAUAGCUGAUUAGGUUAGCAUUUUAGUACUAUAAUUACAAAAUUAAUUAACAGUGAUUAACUUGUCAUUUUAAAGAGUUACCCUGACAAUUUAUCAUGCGCUCCACAAACUUGAGAGAAUUAGACUUUCACCACAUGCAAACUAUAAUAAGUGCAAUAUUGAUGGACAGGUCUUUGCUGGCUUAUUUCUAUGUAUAGGUCACACAGCAGUCUCUUAUAAAGUUCAAGCUAUUAAAUAAAUGUGGGUAUGAAAUUGACACAGUUGAUACACAACCUUAGGGGUAUUUUCUCUGAAGGGCAGCUUUCAACACAAAAGUUGCAAUCUCUUUUUUUAUUCAAAAGAAAUGCGGAAGUAGACAGUGGAAAUUUAGAAAUCCAUAAAACACCAUCUGAUAUAUUUCACUAGGAAGCAGCUUUCCUUUCUCUGUAUCUACAAAAUGGAAAUCCCGCAUAAGAUUUCUUAAACAUAAUUUCACUGUAUCUACUGAGAAAACUACGCUACAACAAUCACUAGCUUGUUGUGAGGAGACAGACAAAGAACAGAGAAUGGUGUUUGAAGGCCAUAUGUAAAAUUUAAAGAAAAAGUCCUCAUAUAUUACAAAAAGGUAGAAUUGAGAGAGUGUCUGAAAAAAUGUGAUUUUUUUUUCUCCUGCAGGCCCCACUUGCUACUAGUAUACAGUAGCACAGGGGUGGCCAACCUGAGCCUGAGAAGGAGCCAGAAUUUACCAAACAGCCACAGUAAUAAGUCAGCAGCCCCUCCAUCAGCUCCCCAGCCCCGCCAAUCAGCGCCUCCCCCUCCCUCCCAAUCAGCUGUUUCAUAGCAUGCAGGAGGCUCGGAGGGGGAGUGGGAGGAGCGAGGUCACGGCAGACUCACAGGAGGGAAAAGGUGGAGUGGGGCAGGCCUGUGGCAGAGCCAGGGGUUGAGCACUCCCUGACACAUUGGCAGCGGUCGCUCCAGCCCCGGAGUUGGUGCCUAUACAAGGAGCCACAUAUUAGCUUCUGAGGAGCCGCAUGUGGCUCCGGAGCCACAGGUUGGCCACCCCUGCAAUAGAAUAAAAUUGUAUGGCACAAUUCUUGCUUUGAGCCUGCUGACUUGCAUAUGAACUAGAUCAUGUCUUUUAGACAGACAUCCUAUCUUGAUUUAAAUGAUGGGGAAUCCAUUACAGUCCUUAGUAAACUAUUCCAAUGGUAAACCUGAGAAUAUCACCACUCUGCAGGCUGGCUAUACGGAAGAUUUUCAAAUCCUGUAAUCAUUAUUACUCUUCUCUGAACCCUCUCCAAUUUCUCAGCAUUCCUUCUUGAACUGUAUAUACCAGAACUGGACGCAGUAUUCCAGCAGUGGUCACACAGUGCCAAAUACAGAGGUAAAAUAACCUCUCUACUCCUAAGGAAAUGUCAGGCCCUUUGAUCAGUAUCACACCGGGUGCUCAUUUGCAGUUGAGCAUCCACAUCACCAUCCCAAUUUUUUCAGAAUCACUGCUUCCCAGGAUAGAGUACCCCCUUCCAGUAAGUAUGGCCUAUGUUCUUUGUUCCUAGAUAUAUACAUUUAGCCAUAUUAAAAUGCAUACUGUUUGCUUGUGUGAGCUUACCAAGCAAUCCAGAUCGCUCUGUCUCUGUGACCUGUCCUCUUCAUUAUGCCUCACCCCCAAUUAGUCACUUGCAAGCCUGAUCAAUAAUUAUUUUAUGUUUUUCUUCACCCCGUCAUUAAUAAAAGCAUUAAAUAGCAUCGUGCCAAGAACUGAUGGUUACCGGACCCCACUAGAAACACACCUGUUUGAGGAUGAUUUCACACUUACAGUUACCUUUUGAAACCAAUUGAGUAGCUAGCUUUUAAUCCAUUUCUUAUCUUUUUAGUUUUCAAUCAAAACAUCAUGCAGCACCAUAACAAAGUCUUAUAGAAGUCUAUUACAUCGACACUGUUUAUUAACCAAACUUGUAAUCUCAAAGCAGGAUAUCAAAUUAGUUUGACAUUUACCAUAAACUCAUGUUGAUCAGCAUUAGUUACAUUACCCUCCUUUAACUCUUGAUUAAUGAAGUCCCAUAUCGGCAGCUCCAUUAUCUUACCUGCAUCUAUGUCAGACUGACAGGCCUAUAAUUACCUGAAUCAUCUCAUAUACCCUUUUUAAACAUUGGCAGAACAUUAGGGAAAUUCCAGAAGACUGGAAGAAAGCUAGAGUUCCAAGACUUUCUGGAAAUCAGUGUUCAUGGUCCAGAGAGCUCUUAAGCCAGCUCUUUUAAAACUCUGGUGCAAGUUAUCCAGACCUGCUGAUUUAAAGAUGUGCAACUUUAGUAGUUGCUGUUUAACAUCCUCGGAGAUAUUAGUGGAGAAAAUAGAAUAGAGAACAGGUUUGUUAAAAAAAUUGAAGGCCUUUAACUCAGAACUGGAUUUGCUACAAAGCAUUUUUUUUUUAUGGGGUGCUCCUUAAAUCAAUCCAGAAACUCAAGCAGGUGCAAUCUGUAGUGGGUUGUUAAGCAGUGCUUCACUCUGGAAGAAAAAGACUCUUGAGCUUCAGGAUCUGCAUGGGCUGCCUAUUGGUUUCAGGAUGAUUUAAGGGGCUGAUUUUAGUCUAAAGAGCCUAGGACCUUCCUAUUUGGCAACGUCUACACUGGGAAAAUGCAUUGGUUAGAGAACAACGUUAGCGCAAAUGUGAAACAUGACUUAGCAUCUAGAGUAGACAGAAGCAAGCCAUGUUUAAAAGUGUUUUGUGGUCAUGGCUGUGAUCAGGAGAGGCACUUGAGUGGAAUCCCCCUAGAUUUAAAAGUGAGGGGACAGCAUUCCCCGCCGGUAUGAAAUAGCCAGUCCACUAGCCUUCAGGACAAUCUUCAGCAUUCUUCUACUUGUUGAGCCUGAUGCAGAGAAAGGAGCAUGAUGGGGUUGGGCAUGUGUGAGGGUGGGGAGUUCCAUAGGGGUGAGGUUUGUUGGCAAUUGUGGGAGUUUUCUUGUUCUUGCAAUGUGUGUCAAGGGUGCAAAGGGGAAUAGGGAGGUGCUGCUUUUUAUAUUUGUAUAAAUAUUUGUAGAAACUGAAAACAAACCUGCAAUUAAAAGUUUUACUUAUUU